rnacentral:rRNA from 1 species
AAUGGUUGGAAAUCAUUCGCAGAGUGUAAAGGUAAAAGGGAGCUUGACUGCGAGAGAGACAACUCGAGCAGGUACGAAAGUAGGGCUUAGUGAUCUGGUGGUACCGUAUGGAAGGGCCAUCACUCAACGGAUAAAAGCUACCCUGGGGAUAACAGGCUUAUCUCCCCCAAGAGUUCACAUCGACGGGGAGGUUUGGCACCUCGAUGUCGGCUCGUCGCAUCCUGGGGCUGAAGU